UACGGAGGAUCCAAGCGUUAUCCGGAUUUAUUGGGUUUAAAGGGUGCGUAGGCGGACCCUUAAGUCAGUGGUGAAAGUUCGCGGCUCAACCGUGAAAUUGCCAUUGAAACUGAGGGUCUUGAGUGUAAAUAAGGUAGGCGGAAUGUGUUGUGUAGCGGUGAAAUGCUUAGAUAUAACACAGAACACCAAUUGCGAAGGCAGCUUACUGGGAUACAACUGACGCUGAGGCACGAAAGCGUGGGGAUCAAACAGG
rnacentral:rRNA from 1 species